GAUUGAACGCUGGCGGCAGGCCUAACACAUGCAAGUCGAACGGUAACAGGAAGAAGCUUGCUUCUUUGCUGACGAGUGGCGGACGGGUGAGUAAUGUCUGGGAAACUGCCUGAUGGAGGGGGAUAACUACUGGAAACGGUAGCUAAUACCGCAUAACGUCGCAAGACCAAAGAGGGGGACCUUAGGGCCUCUUGCCAUCGGAUGUGCCCAGAUGGGAUUAGCUAGUAGGUGGGGUAAAGGCUCACCUAGGCGACGAUCCCUAGCUGGUCUGAGAGGAUGACCAGCCACACUGGAACUGAGACACGGUCCAGACUCCUACGGGAGGCAGCAGUGGGGAAUAUUGCACAAUGGGCGCAAGCCUGAUGCAGCCAUGCCGCGUGUAUGAAGAAGGCCUUCGGGUUGUAAAGUACUUUCAGCGGGGAGGAAGGUGUUGUGGUUAAUAACCACAGCAAUUGACGUUACCCGCAGAAGAAGCACCGGCUAACUCCGUGCCAGCAGCCGCGGUAAUACGGAGGGUGCAAGCGUUAAUCGGAAUUACUGGGCGUAAAGCGCACGCAGGCGGUCUGUCAAGUCGGAUGUGAAAUCCCCGGGCUCAACCUGGGAACUGCAUUCGAAACUGGCAGGCUUGAGUCUCGUAGAGGGGGGUAGAAUUCCAGGUGUAGCGGUGAAGUGCGUAGAGAUCUGGAGGAAUACCGGUGGCGAAGGCGGCCCCUGGACGAAGACUGACGCUCAGGUGCGAAAGCGUGGGGGAGCAAACAGGAUUAGAUACCCUGGUAGUCCACGCCGUAAACGAUGUCUAUUUGGAGGUUGUGCCCUUGAGGUGUGGCUUCCGGAGCUAACGCGUUAAAUAGACCGCCUGGGGAGUACGGCCGCAAGGUUAAAACUCAAAUGAAUUGACGGGGGCCCGCACAAGCGGUGGAGCAUGUGGUUUAAUUCGAUGCAACGCGAAGAACCUUACCUGGUCUUGACAUCCACAGAACUUUCCAGAGAUGGAGGGGUGCCUUCGGGAACUGUGAGACAGGUGCUGCAUGGCUGUCGUCAGCUCGUGUUGUGAAAUGUUGGGUUAAGUCCCGCAACGAGCGCAACCCUUAUCCUUUGUUGCCAGCGGUUAGGCCGGGAACUCAAAGGAGACUGCCAGUGAUAAACUGGAGGAAGGUGGGGAUGACGUCAAGUCAUCAUGGCCCUUACGACCAGGGCUACACACGUGCUACAAUGGCGCAUACAAAGAGAAGCGAACUCGCGAGAGCAAGCGGACCUCAUAAAGUGCGUCGUAGUCCGGACUGGAGUCUGCAACUCGACUCCAUGAAGUCGGAAUCGCUAGUAAUCGUGGAUCAGAAUGCCACGGUGAAUACGUUCCCGGGCCUUGUACACACCGC
rnacentral:rRNA from 2 species